rnacentral:rRNA from 1 species
GAUGAACGCUGGCGGCGUGCCUAACACAUGCAAGUCGAGCGAUUCUCUUCGGAGAAGAGCGGCGGACGGGUGAGUAACGCGUGGGUAACCUGCCCUGUACACACGGAUAACAUACCGAAAGGUAUGCUAAUACGAGAUAAUAUACUUUUAUCGCAUGGGAGAAGUAUCAAAGCUUUUGCGGUACAGGAUGGACCCGCGUCUGAUUAGCUAGUUGGUAGGGUAACGGCUUACCAAGGCGACGAUCAGUAGCCGACCUGAGAGGGUGAUCGGCCACAUUGGAACUGAGACACGGUCCAAACUCCUACGGGAGGCAGCAGUGGGGAAUAUUGCACAAUGGGCGAAAGCCUGAUGCAGCAACGCCGCGUGAGCGAUGAAGGCCUUCGGGUCGUAAAGCUCUGUCCUCAAGGGGGAUAAUGACGGUACUUGAGGAGGAAGCCCCGGCUAACUACGUGCCAGCCGCCGCGGUAAGAC